rnacentral:lncRNA from 10 species
CUCUUGGUUGCGGCACUGCUUCUGGCUCGGUGCCUGUAUUUUCUCGGUGCCUACAGCGCCCAGGUCGCCGAUCUGAGGGCUUCGGAGUACCGGCCGGGCGCGGUGGCUCACGCCUGUAAUCCCAGCACUUUGGGAGGCCGAGGCGGGCGGAUCAGGAGGUCAGGAGAUCGAGACCAUCCUGGCUAACACGGAAAUGUAGACUUAGGUGUAACAUGUACCGGUUUAGAUCUGACAGAGAUAUCACAAUUGUAGGAUUGCAUCUUUUAGCAAGAUAAGGUCUAGAUCUGUCACCCAGGCUGGAGUACAG